UACGAAGGGGGCUAGCGUUGCUCGGAAUUACUGGGCGUAAAGGGCGCGUAGGCGGCACUGUUAGUCAGGCGUGAAAGUCCUGGGCUCAACCUGGGAACUGCGCUUGAUACGGCAGAGCUAGAGGACGGUAGAGGCGUGUGGAAUUCCGGGUGUAGUGGUGAAAUACGUAGAUAUCAGGAGGAACACCGGUGGCGAAAGCGGCGACCUGGUCCAAUAUUGACACUCAUACACGAAGCGUGGGGAUCAAACAGG
rnacentral:rRNA from 1 species